UUUUCAUCUUUAAAACAAAACCCAGACCAAAUACCACAGCUAUGUUGUGGUACAAUUAAACAAUUAAAAUAUUUCCUCCUCCUUUAAUCAUAUCCUGGCGUACACAGAGAAAAUGAGGAAACACACACUGGACUUUGUAUUAAAUUAUUAGAAGCAGUGAUGAGGGAAGAGCUGACUCAUACUCAUGCAGAUCAGUCAGUCAACAAAAACAACAGUGAGAUAAAUAACACUAAAAGACUCGCUCAGCAGAGACACUGAGGAACAUUCACUUCUUUUAACUCUUCCCUCCUCGAGCGCCUUUCUAUGUAAUUCCGAAACUACAGUUUAAUUAGAUAUAAAUGAUAUUUUAUGUUCAUUUCACCAUCUAUAUGAUUUUUAGAAUCACUGCAUAUGUUUACAGGAACUUUCUUCAUGAUGACAACUGGAGCAUUUCCAGGGCAUCUUCUUCCUAACCUGGCACUGAAGAAGACAGCUGUGCAGUCUUCAAACGGAGACAACAUCGGAUUUGCUUUCAAGGCCGUCGAUGGCAACAGAGACGAGAACUAUCAGAAAGGGUCCUGCACACUUACUUUAUCACAGUCUGAUCCGUGGUGGAGGGUAGACCUGGCAAGAGUGUAUACAGUUGGUGCUGUUGUGAUAACCAAUAGAGCAGGAUUUGAAAACAGGUUGGAUGGUGCAGAAAUCUGGAUUGGAAAGUCAACAAACUUCAGUGACCCUGAGCGUGAGAGGUGUGCGGUCAUCUCUCACAUCCCCAGUGGGGAGACGUUCUACUUUCCAUGUAGCUCUAUUGAGGGACGCUAUGUCACUGUGUUUCUCCCAGGAAGUGGGAAGGUCCUAAAUCUCUGCGAGGUUGAAGUGUACUAUGGAUACCCAUUACCCAAUGUGGCACUGAAAGGAGAAGCUACUCAGUCAUCUACACUCUCUUUUGCCACUGCGUCCAAAGCCAUCGAUGGCAGACGGAACUCAUUCUACAGCGAUGGGUUCUGUAGCCACACGGCUGAAGACGAGACCGACCCCUGGUGGAGGGUGGACCUGCAGCGAAGCUUUACAAUCACUGCUGUAAAAGUCACCAACAGAGGAGACUGCUGUGCUGAAAGACUGGAUGGAGCUGAGAUCAGAAUAGGAAACUCACUGGAGAACAAUGGAAACAAUAAUCCCAGGUGUGCUUCCAUCUCACAUAUCAAAGCAGGUAAAACCUACACAUACCAGUGUGACGGAGGCAGCAUGGAGGGUCGCUUUGUGAACGUGUUUCUUCCUGGACAGAAGAAGACUCUCACCCUGUGUGAAGUGGAGGUGUAUGCUGCCCCAGCAGUGGAGCCGCUUUCAAAUGUGGCCUUAAAAAAGCCAACAGUACAGUCAUCGACUUCGUCACCACAUUUCUCUUCAAAAGCUGUUGAUGGGUACAAAAAUGGAAGCUUCUAUGGUGCAGGCUUUUCCCACACUUUAGAAGAAACAAAUCCCUGGUGGAGAGUAGACUUGUUAGCUGUCUAUAAAGUCAAUGCUGUCACCAUCAUCAACAGACAAGACUGUUGCUCUGAAAGGAUUCUUGGGGUAGAGAUUCGGAUCGGGGACUCACUGGAUCAAAAUGGAAAUCAAAACCCGAGGUGUGGCAUUAUUGAAUCAUUAGCAGGUACACCAACAUACACAUUCCAUUGUAAUGAAAUGGAAGGUCGCUACAUCAAUGUGAUCAUACCAGCACCUCUGAGAGUUCUGACGCUGUGUGAAGUGGAGGUGUUUGCUCCUCUGCCUGCACCAGAAGCUGUUACUCCUUCACCGACUCCUCCACCAACUCCUCCUGCUCCUCCCACUGUGAGUGUGCAGCUUGGUGGCAGGAACGUGACGGUGGUGGGAGAGAGGCUCUGCUGGUCUGAUGCUCUGAUGUACUGUAGACGUUAUUACUGGGACCUGCUCAGCCUUCGCAGCCAACAGGAGCAAAGCGAGUUGGAGCAGCUGCUGGGCCUCAUUCCUUUCUCCCUCACAGACCACGUCUGGCUGGGACUGCGCAGAUCCUUGAGUGGAGACGACUGGUUCUGGAUGUCCGGACACUCCAUGAAUUUCUUCAACUGGCCACAAGAUUUUGUCCCUUACUAUUACUCCAGCACGUGUGGAGCUAUGAGCAAUGGAGAGCACUUCCUGUGGCAGGACCUGCACUGUGGGGAACACCUCAACUUCAUCUGCCAAUCAGGUGCUGGGGACAAUGUGCAAAGAGUGGACUUCUACAGCACCAAGAAUGUCACAACUGUAAAGUAAAGGCCAACAAUAUACUGCAUAUCGGAAUACUUCUAAGUUACUAAUAGUUUUCAUAUACAUACACAUACAUAUAUAUAACUGACAGUUUGGUCACCAAAUGCAGCGUCAUAGUCUACAACUGAAUGCCAGAUCUAAAUCGCUUGUUAUAUUGUAUCGCAGCAUCAUACUAUAAUGAUCAUAGAAUAUGUACUCAUGUUUCCUGUUUGUUAGUUUAAAAAAACAGUAAUUAAUAUUUAUGAACCUCAUUCAAUUAACAGAUGUAACUCUGAAGAUGGUUCUGGAUUAUAUGAAAAAGGUUAGCAAUUAAAUGUAGAUUACAAUUAAAAACAACACAGAACUUAACUCCAAAUUCACCAAAUGAAUUGAAUUUGCAUUAAAAAAAUAUACAAGUAGGGCCCUGUGGUGCUCUUAGGCUCCUACAUCCACUUGUAGGUUUGUGUGGCUUGUAGUGAAGCAGCUUAUUUAGAGUAAUAGUUGCCAUCUUGGUUAAUAUAUCUUACCAGUCUAUGCCUCUCUCUUUCUUUCUCUCUUUUUCAAGUCAUUUGGCUGUAUUUGUCAUUAGCUUGCUUUAUCUGUUGAUUUGCUUACAAUUUAUGACGUGUUCAACUUUUGGGUUUUAAUAAA